rnacentral:rRNA from 1 species
CGGGGUGAGUAACACGUGGGUAACCUGCCCGGAAGUGGGGAAUACCUCGGGGAAACUCGAGCUAAUACCGCAUAACAUCUUUAGGACGAUGGUCCUGACGAUCAAAGCGGGGUCGCAAGAUCUCGCGCCACCGGAUGGGCCCGCGCCUGAUUAGCUAGUUGGUGGGGUAACGGCUCACCAAGGCUUCGAUCAGUAACCGGCCUGAGAGGGCGAUCGGUCACACCGGAACUGAGACACGGUCCGG